GGGAAUGUGUGGGGGGCAGCCGCGGUAAUAGGAGGUGGUGAACGGUGAAUUUGAAUUAGAGGGGUUAAAGCGGGAGGAGGGGGUUUGGUGAGAUGGAUGGGCAAUCCCCGGUGCCAACCGGGGAACUUCGUCACUAACUGCCUGGAGAGAGUACGGUAGAGGGUGGUGGAAUGGCCUGUGUAGCGGUGAAAGGCGUAGAUAUAGGAAGGAACACCAGGGGCGAAGGCGACCACCUGGACUGAUACUGACACUGAGGUGCGAAAGCGUGGGGAGCAAACAGGAUUAGAUACCCCGGUAGUC
rnacentral:rRNA from 1 species